rnacentral:rRNA from 1 species
CCUACGGGAGGCAGCAGUGAGGAAUAUUGGUCAAUGGACGAGAGUCUGAACCAGCCAAGUAGCGUGAAGGAUGACUGCCCUAUGGGUUGUAAACUUCUUUUAUAAAGGAAUAAAACGAGGCACGUGUGCCUUUUUUCAUGUACUUUAUGAAUAAGGAUCGGCUAACUCCGUGCCAGCAGCCGCGGUAAUACGGAGGAUCCGAGCGUUAUCCGGAUUUAUUGGGUUUAAAGGGAGCGUAGAUGGGUUGUUAAGUCAGUUGUGAAAGUUUGCGGCUCAACCGUAAAAUUGCAAUGGAUACUGGCAGUCUUGAGUACAGUUGAGGUAGGCGGAAUUCGUGGUGUAGCGGUGAAAUGCUUAGAUAUCACGAAGAACCCCGAUUGCGAAGGCAGCUUACUAAACUGUGACUGACAUUGAUGCUCGAAAGUGUGGGUAUCAAACAGGAUUAGAUACCCGUGUAGUC